CGAAGCGGUGAAUUCAAGCCCCGGUAAACGGCGGUGGUAACUAUAACCAUCCUAAGGUAGCGAAAUUCCUUGUCGGGUAAGUUCCGACCUGCACGAAUGGCGUAACGACUUCCCCACUGUCUCGACCAGGAGCUCGGCGAAAUUGCAGUACGAGUAAAGAUGCUCGUUAAGCGCAGAAGGACGAAAAGACCCCGGGACCUUUACUAUACCUUGGUAUUGGCGUUAGGCGCGGAUUGUGUAGCAUAGGCGGGAGGCUUUGAAACGGUGGCGCCAGCCAUCGCGGAGCCGCAAGGUGAAAUACCGCUCUGUUCUCGUUUGACGUCUAACCUCGACAAGUCAUCCUUGUCAGGGACAGUGCCUGGCGGGUAGUUCAACUGGGGCGGUUGCCUCCCAAAGAGUAACGGAGGCGCUCAAAGGUCCGCUCAGCCCGGUUGGCAAUCGGGUGUCGAGUGUAAUCGCACAAGCGGGCUUGACUGCGAGGACGACGGUCCGAGCAGGGACGAAAGUCGGAGAUAGUGAUCCGGUGCCGGCGCACGGGCGCGGCAUCGCUCAACGGAUAAAAGGUACCCCGGGGAUAACAGGCUGAUCAUUCCCAAGAGUCCAUAUCGACGGGAUGGUUUGGCACCUCGAUGUCGGCUCGUCGCAUCCUGGGGCUGGAGCAGGUCCCAAGGGUUCGGCUGUUCGCCGAUUAAAGCGGCACGCGAGCUGGGUUCAGAACGUCGUGAGACAGUUUGGUCUCUAUCCUCUGCGCUCGUUGGAAUCCUGAGGAGGCCUGCCCAUAGUACGAGAGGACCUGGGUGGACGAACCUCUGGUAUGCCGGUUGUCGCGCCAGCGGCACGGCCGGUUGGCUACGUUCGGGAGGGAUAACCGCUGAAAGCAUCUAAGCGGGAAGCCUGCUCCAAGAUUAGGAUUCCGUACAGUCUUGAACUGUUGUAGCCCGCAUGUUGAACACGUGUUUGAUAGGCCGGAGGUGGAAGCCCCGUGAGGGGUGGAGCCGACCGGUACUAACGGGCGACGGCGACAUAAC
rnacentral:rRNA from 1 species